rnacentral:tRNA from 1 species
GCGGGAGUAGCUCAUUUGGAUAGAGCGCCUGGCUUCGAACCAGGAGGCAGGGGGUUCAAAUCCCUCCUCCCGCACCA